GAAAAAAAACAAAAGAUCUUUAAAGAAAAAUACUCCAGGAAAUCGAAAUAUUUUCAGAUCCAAAUUAUUAAAAAGCAAAACCCUAAUCUGGAGGGAUACAAAAAUCGAUUAGAAAUAAAGAGAACAAGAUAUUUCUUCUUCUUUUUUCUGAAAGAAAACUACUGAAUAAACUCAAAAUCACUCCAAAUCUACAAAAUAUCUGAAUAGUUUCACGUUAAACGGAUGAGGGUUUUAGGAAAAGGGGCAGGGUAAAGGAAAAAUUUAAUCAGAGCUGCCAAACCAGCGAUACUCGCAACAUCGAUGAACACACGAUAAUGUUCACAAGGAAAAAGAAGAGCCUAGGUCUACUCUAAUUCGAACCUCUUCGAGGUUCCCUCAGAAAACAACGAGAAUCGAAUGACCAGCAGAAGUAAUAGGUUAGAUAGGGUAGCAAAACCCCAAAUACUCCAUAUUUCGUCAGAGAUCGAAGGGGUUUGUGAUAUUUAGAAGUGAUAGCGCAUCUAUGUUUUGGCUGGUCUCAGAGAGAAGAGAGAAAAUAGGGAUUCAGUG
rnacentral:lncRNA from 1 species